UGGAGAUGGAUGCGUGAGUGAAAGGAAAUGCUCGUGAAGCAAGUCGAGGCUGCUCCAUCAUCACCACGGCUCCUGUGUGCACGGGAAAGCUCAGCCCUCUCACCGCCAACAGCUGGAGGAGAUAAUUCAUGUGCCAGGAGUGCUGGGCAGCCCGUGAGCCCACGGGUGGAUGAUGGAUUUGCACCUCCAAAGCAGGUCACAUUUAGGAAAAAGAUUCUUAAAUAUUUCUUUGGAAGUAAACUGGUGCCAUUUCCAAAUUGAUUCAUCAAACAUUCUCAUGCCUGAAUUUGUGCACAAAUAUCAUGUGAAUGUUUUACUUUUAUCAACUCUGUCUUCUGAGAGGGAGUCGUGGUAUGAACAUAAGUUGCUAAGUUGAAGACAGGCGUUUUAAAGAUAAAUGGUAAACCUGAACUGGAAAUCCAUCUGGCCGGCUGCCUGCUCUAAUGAAUAACCCCACUUUGGCACAUGCAAUGUAAGCAGAAAGUUCUCUCCCAGCCUCUUUCGUCUGUCAUGAAUCUACGAGACAGCCGACAUAAUAUCUGGGCGACACCGGUGCGCUAACAGUGCAGGCCUGUGUUGGUUGCUCUGCAUAUGAAACCCUAUUUAAUUCUCACCAAAUCCUGAAGCUGAAACUCAGAGAAAGUAGAAUUUUCUGAAGAUUACACAGCUGAGAAAUAUGGGAAAAUGGAUUCAGACUCAGAUCUGCCUCGUUCUGAAGCUUACUUUCUUUUCAAUGCACUGAACUGUAUCAAGGAUGUUUUUUGGAAGGCAGACUGAUGGGUGCAAGAGUGAAGAGGUAUGAAUAAACACUAGCUACAGGAUGACAGAGAUUCCUUCCUGGAAACCGUGGUUGGGAUGAAGCAAUAAAUACCAAAAAAAUAUUUAAAAAAUUUUUUUACUAGGAGGAAUUCCAAGAUGAAAUUCCAUGCGCUUGACAAGCAUUUAUCAAACCUGAAUUUAUUUCCUGAUUACAAAAUAAUUCCAUGUUACUGGUAGAAUUAGGAAACUGUAUAGGAAUCACCAGUUACACAGUCAGACAGAGCUAACUACUGUUAAUGUUUUUCUAAUCUCUUUAUCUUUUUCUUCAAAUAUAUACAUAUAUAUAUAUAGUGUUUAUCUAAUUAAAAUUAUGCUUUUCAUAUGUUUGUAAUCUGAUGUCUGAAUUAAUAACAUAUCACAACAUUUUAU